rnacentral:lncRNA from 1 species
AACUGAGGAUGGCUAGGACCACUCUUUCUUCUCUCUCUUUAUCUUUUUGUAUUCUCCUCAUAAUCACCUUCACCUUGUUCAUGCAACCAACUCCAGUAAGAGCAGCAGGUUUGUCUCUGUCAUUCAAUCAUUUCAUUUUUUUUUCCCAAAAGAAAAUUUACAAUGAUGAUCACUGAGAAAUUCAACCACAUAUACGUUUAAUACAUUAAAUACUGCAUUUCUAAUGUUUAGCGUAGAAAGAUGGUUUUAAAUUAUGGUUAUGAAAUAUUGGAUGUCAUAUUUGUAACUAGCAUUUGGUUGUGGAGACUAAGAAAAUCUUUGCAUUAAAAUAAUAAAUUUAAAUCUGACUGUUCUAAACAAAAACAUAUUUCAACUGUAGUAUCUUAAAAGGUUUAUAACGUGAUUUGAUCUUGAUUUGCAGAUCUGAAAGUGAGAAAAUUGGGUGCCAUGCCAAGGCCACCUCCUUCACCUGCAAAAAAUCCACCUUGUGGACUCCAUUGUUGACCUUACUGUUUUACCUUUGUUGGGAAAAAGAUAUUAGGUUUUCUCUAUAAAUCACACCACCAACAUAUUUAUUUGGGAUGCUGCUUGGAGAAGAAAUAUGUAUCAAAAUAUAAUAUGAAAUUCUCAGAGAUAUAUACGUCUUUAAUCAUAUGAAAUAUAGGAAUAAUAUAGUUUUUAGAAAAGAAAAGUUGGAUGCGGAGGAGAUAUUUAUCUUAACUUAAGGCAUGGGAUUGGAUUAUAAAUAAAAACUUAAAAGCUAAAUUUUUGUAUUCGGAUUGGUGGUUUUUCCCAUCUAUGUAUUUAAAGUAUACAUCUAGCUAACUGUACAAAAAAAACAGGGAAAAGAAAGUAGUGUAACUUUGUUUGGGUUAAACCAUCAAUAAAAGAGCAAUGAGAUAGAUUUAUAUGUAAAAGUUUUAUAUGAGUGUUACCUAAUUAGCCUUUUCAGAACAACAUGAAACUCUUUUUGGUCAAAUA